AUCCACCAAUAGUAGUAACAUCCUAUGUCUUUAUAUAAUGCAGGUACUCUGACAGCCCCAAUGACUUCACUGAUGAAGACGAUUUGAGGCUCCCCAGCACAUCAGAAAGUGCGGCAUCUGCUGCUGGCUCUUCAGGGUAAGUUAGUGUUCACUUCCUUGUGUCGGAAUAUGACACCAUAACAAACAUUUUUUUGAGGCAGGUUGUCAACUUCACAAGCAGGAGCCGCUGUCCCAGAUCCAGGGUAAGAAAGCUGUGCGCACUUUCGUUGAUUGGAAGCAGACAUACUUUUCCAGUGCACUUCUUGAGUCUAAUGAUGUGGCCUGUCCUGCAGGUCUGCCAAAAGGCGAGCAUCCAAGGGACCUUCCUCUCGGACCAAAAGAAGGCAGUCUGACAGCUUCGACGAAGCGGUGAAAGAUGUCUUGGGCAGCUGCUCAGCUACGCUGUUAGAACUAAAAAAAAAACAUGAAAUGCCUGCACCGACAG